GGGGUGGCAGCUUUUGUCUUUAGAUUUGGUUACCAUAUAAAUUCUUCCCCUUUUUAGGGGGAUUUUUAUUUUUAUUUUUUUACAUUUACUUUUUUUUUUCUUCACCCCGUGCUUGUCUCGGUUAAAAGUGGACUAGAAGGGGUAAUAAGGGAAUUUCGAUAUCUCCUUUUCUUCUUUUCGGUCUGUCCAACGUGUGUUUUUUUAAAACCAAAAACAAUGUGGCUGUGAUUUAUCCGAGUAACUGACAUCCGGCAUAUCUGCCACGUCUCAACUACAUGCACUUCUUCCACGUAAGCAGCCGAUCACUACGGUCCAAGAACCCCCUGCGUCAUCAUCAUCAACAAUUUAAAAGAAAAUUAAUAAACAAAACAAAAAACAGGUGAAGGCCCGUUGUGAACGUGACCCAGUCCUGGACCCCACUAUCUUAUCGCACGUGCGAAGUGUGGGAUCUUUCUCCUUUAUUACUGGUAAUAAUACAAAUUUUAAAAAAAAAUUAAAUGUUUAAAAAGAAAAAGGGUUGCCGUUGUGGGCCCAGUUACGGUUUCUCAUUUUGCUAGCUUUGUUUUUGUCCCCUUUCUUUCUUCAGCUGUUGUCUCUGUACGGACAAAUAAGCAUGGGAUGCCAGUGAAUGCAUAAAUCUAUAGUGGGACCCUCGUUAUUACAGUAUUUUUUCUUUUAAUAUUUUCUUGCGUUGUUUCAAAGAAGUAAAAGAAAAUGAUUUAUUUAACUAAUAAAACG
rnacentral:lncRNA from 1 species